UGGAAAUAAGGCUACACCUUCGGGGUGCA
rnacentral:sRNA from 1 species